rnacentral:rRNA from 1 species
GCGGCGCGCUUAACACAUGCAAGUCGAGCGAGAAAGGGGCAACCUGAGUAAAGCGGCGUACGGGUGAGUAACACGUGGGUAAUCUACCUUUUAGUGGGGAAUAACCCUGGGAAACCGGGGCUAAUACCGCAUAAUCCUGUGAGGGGAAAGCAGCAAUGCGCUGAAAGAGGGGCCCGCGGCCGAUUAGCUAGUUGGUGAGGUAACGGCUCACCAAGGCGGUGAUCGGUAGCCGGCCUGAGAGGGCACACGGCCACACUGGCACUGAAACACGGGCCAGACUCCUACGGGAGGCAGCAGUGGGGAAUCUUGCACAAUGGAGGAAACUCUGAUGCAGCGACGCCGCGUGAGCGAUGAAGCCCUUCGGGGUGUAAAGCUCUUUCGGCAGGGACGAUAAUGACGGUACCUGAAGAAGAAGCUGCGGCUAACUACGUGCCAGCAGCCGCGGUAAUACGUAUGCAGCGAGCGUUGUUCGGAAUUACUGGGCGUAAAGAGUGUGUAGGCGGUGCUCUAAGUUCGGUGUGAAAUCUCCCGGCUCACCUGGGAGGGUGCGCCGGAAACUGGAGU